GCGCCGCUCCAGCUCGUGGACCUUGGCCAGGAAGCAGCGGAACCGCAGGUUCAGCGUCUUCAGGACGCUGAUGUUGGAGCCCAGGUGACUGUUCCCUUGCUCUGCCUCUGACCAGGGAGGCUGAGCCACAGCAAGCAGCGCUUUUGUCAAGGAAGGGGAGGGCAGGAAGGCUUUCCUCACAGACUGGUGCAGGAGAUCCCCCGUCUUCCCCAAACCCUCACUGCAACAGCAGCCGGACGGGAGCCAUGCACCCAGCAGCAAUAUUACCAAAUAAACAGCCAGGGAAAAGGGAAGGACAGAGGGACAAGAGGGAUCCCAGUCAAGAAGCUUGUUUGAAGCAGCAGCAACAGCUCCAGCUGAGAGACCUCCCAGCCCAUGCCCUGGAAAGCAUCGCCGACUCCCUCCUGUGUGCUGCCAUGUCCCUUCACGCACUCCCGUGCUGCUGCAGCCUGUCUGCAUGCAUGGCCCCCCGCGUUUUCUGCCAGCAUCCUCCCCCCUCGCGUGCCGCUGGGUUUGCCCCCCCAGACCUGCCAGCCCAUUUGCAAAACCCAAGCAGGGCCAGGCAGCAGGGAGCACAGGCAAGGGCAAGGCCACAAACCAUGGAGCAAGCACUUUCCUAAGCUCUGCUUGGCCUGCUUCUGUCCUGCCGGGGAAACCUGGUAAGCAUUUAUUGAUUAAUGAAAUGCCAGUGGAAGAAGGCAUUGCCAUCCAUCAAGAAAAGCUUUUUCACCGGGAGGCCAGCACAGCACUGGAGCAGGUGGUAGGAUCUCCAUCCUUGGUGGUUCUCAGGGCUCAGCUACGCAAAGCCACAGCCACGCGACCUAGUGCUGGGACAGUCCUGCUCAGAGCGAGGGGCUGCGCUAACGACCUCCAGCACCUCUUCCCACCAACACUCCUGUCUCCUGGAAAAGAAAGGGCAAGGUAGGGCCUCCUUUUUUUUUUUGUCCAUAGCUUGGGAUAAAGGAUGACUCCUCAUGCCUAAGGUGGCUUGGGCAAAGGGCCGACCUCUUCUAGUUAACUCCUGAAGAAGCUCAGAGCCUAGACACAAUCCUACCCAGGGAACCACAGUGCUCCUCCAUUGGGCCUCAACUUCACCCCAGCACAACAGCUCUCCCUCCUCAGCUUUCCCUCUUGGUUUACCAAAACCCCUGGCAUUUCUCCAGAUCCUCCAACAGCUCCUGCCCUGAGUUUAUUAGCUCAGGUUCAGCAGUGGCACUGCUGGACCCCAGCUGCUGAGGUGCUGAGCUGCUUCCUCCACCUCACUGCAGCUCUUAAAAUUGUACCUGUAGCCAACACAAGAAUAGAUUCUUAUUCACGGACAUGCUGAUAUUUAUCUUCCACAGAUUUUAAGGCCGAGAAAGAACUGCUGCAUUUUCUGAUCCUGUGCAAAACACACGGUGCAAAAUUCUGUAGCUCAAGUCAAGUACUUGUGUGGGACUGUGACUCUAGUUGCUGACAGCAUGGUAAAAAGAGAUUAAGCCUCUACCACUACCCUUCACGGACAGAUCAAGAUAGAUGCCCCAGGUGGAUAACCACUUAUUAAAAUCACACGCCUUCCCUUGCCUUGCCUCUUAUUUGAAUUUGCCUAGCUUUAUCAUCCAUUGCCAGCUUGAGAUGCUUCCCCUCUCCCAGAUCACAGAACCUCCUACCAGCUAAUGCAUCCUCCUUGAAAAGGUGCUUUCAUAUGCGAAACCUGUUCACGUUAGCCCCACAGCUUUCCUUGAGACUCUUUUUUUUUAAGGCAUAGGCCACAUUAGUGUGUCUACCCCACCUCCCUGCUCUUCUCCUCUCUGAAGACCCCCAGCACUACCUUCUCCCUUAAACCACACUGCUGGAACAUUUCAGCGUAAACUCUCCAAGUCUUCCACUUUCUAGGAUGCCUCGCUAAAACCAACCCAUAAAAUUGCUUCUAUCAUGCAGAUGCUGCAAUGAACAGAUGACUUUUGGGCACCCUGCUGCCUAGCAAAGCCAGCAACCCAGUUGGCUGCCUAGAUUUGGGUGCAAAUGGGGAGAAAUUGGCACAGGGGAGCAGCUGCCAACAGAAGCUUGGUGAUCACCACACAGAAGCGUCCCUGUCUAACAGCAGAGGAGGGAAUGGAUUUUCUUUUUAAAAAACAGUCCAGGGGGGAGUUUUGUAGCCAGAUCUUGCAUGUGAAGGAAGUGCUAUGUACUACAGCCAAGAGCCAGAGACCUAACUGACCUUACUCUUCUCAUCAAUUCCUCAUUGACUACAUCAGGCAGGCGUCCUCUCUGGGGGCUCUCCGCAUCCGCCCUAGCAGGGAUGGACAGCUUCUUGGGGGAGCAAAACCUACUGAUGCGAGCUUGGUCAUUUGUGCAUUCAGCCCCUACAAAAAGUGGCGUGCAUAUCUAGGGGGUUAUGUGCAACAGAACACGUGCUCAAGGAUUUAAUUUUGUACCCAAGUCUCCGAAACGUGCGGCGCAGGAUUUCAGUCCCUUCCUCUGGGUAGAGCCUGAUAUGAGACGGCACAAGCCCAGGCUGCCUGCCUGGCACGGAACAGACAUUACAGCGCGUGACAUCCCUGCAAUUAGUGACCGACCCACAUUGCUACUUCUCUUUCCGUUCUGCGCCAUCGUCCACAGAAGCCUUCGGUUUCCUUCCUCGGCCGGACCGAGGGUGCCCCAGCCCCAGCGCCCUCCCUGUCCCUCCUGGCGUGCAGAGGUGACCUGGCAGCACUCCCGAGCCUGGCAGGCAGGAGUUGCCAGCUGACCACCUUAAUUGUACCCUGCUAAGCCUUCCCUGAUAGACUCACCCCUUUCCGUUUGGGAAGAAGGGUUUGAAGAAUUGCCACUGGAUUAAAGAUCUUACAACGUG